rnacentral:rRNA from 1 species
CCUACGGGAGGCAGCAGUGGGGGAUAUUGCACAAUGGGGGGAACCCUGAUGCAGCGACGCCGCGUGGGUGAAGGAGUGCUUCGGCAUGUAAAGCCCUAUCGGCAGGGACGAAGCAAGACGGUACCUGACUAAGAAGCCCCGGCUAACUACGUGCCAGCAGCCGCGGUAAUACGUAGGGGGCGAGCGUUAUCCGGAUUCACUGGGUGUAAAGGGAGCGUAGACGGCCAUGCCAGCCAGGGGUGAAAGCCCGGGGCCCAACCCCGGGACUGCCCUUGGAACUGUGCGGCUAGAGUGCGGGAGGGGCAGGCGGAAUUCCUGGGGUAGCGGUGAAAUGCGUAGAUAUCAGGAGGAACACCGGCGGCGAAGGCGGCCUGCUGGACCGCGACUGACGUUGAGGCUCGAAAGCGUGGGGAGCGAACAGGAUUAGAUACCCCAGUAGUC